rnacentral:lncRNA from 1 species
CACAUAGAAAUACAGAUAGACCCCCAUUCCAUGGAAUCCAAUAUUCCCAGACAUUAUCCUCAAUAUGUGUCCUCCAACCACAACAAUAAGGAAGAAUUUGUAACUGAAGUGCUGCCCCCAUGCACACAAUUUCACCUGUAGUCCUCUAAAGUUGCUUGAAUAUUCUUACAGAUUCCAGGUGCCUCAGGGAUGAAAUACACAGAUUGCUGUCCAGGGCACCAGCGAAUGCUGCACCCGUUCUUGGCAUAUCAUCCCUCUCGUAAAAGGCAAUCAUGGCAGGAAAACUGAGACCAAUGGCUUUUUCAUUCUCCACCUCUCAGCUCUCCAAAGUAAUGGCACUGGGUCUUCUCAUCGUGCAUUUCUUUUCAGAUGCAUACUUUCUCCCUUUAACAA